CCUACGGGCGGCUGCAGUCGGGAAUAUUGCUCAAUGGGGGGAACCCUGAAGCAGCAACGCCGCGUGGAGGAUGAAGGUUUUCGGAUUGUAAACUCCUUUUGUUAGAGAAGAUAAUGACGGUAUCUAACGAAUAAGCACCGGCUAACUCCGUGCCAGCAGCCGCGGUAAGACGGAGGGUGCAAGCGUUACUCGGAAUCACUGGGCGUAAAGAGCGCGUAGGCGGGAUAGCAAGUCAGAUGUGAAAUCCUAUGGCUUAACCAGAGAACUGCAUUUGAAACUGUUAUUCUAGAGUAAGGGAGAGGUAGGUGGAAUUCUUGGUGUAGGGGUAAAAUGCGUAGAGAUCGAGAGGAAUACUCAUUGCGAAGGCGAGCUGCUAGAACAUAACUGACGCUGAUGCGCGAAGGCGUGGGGAGCAAACGGGAUUAGAUACCCCAGUAGUC
rnacentral:rRNA from 1 species